CUUUUUUGUAUGUUGCUGACGAGAAGCUGGUAAAGAAACCUAUCUUAACGUUUUCCUCUCUUGCUCGCUAAAUGGUCAACGAUUUAAAUUGAUAAUCCUAAUUACAAAUGUGCUAUGUCUGAACUAGUGAGACUGCUGUCGACUUCUCCCAUACCGCCAGUUGACCGCUCUUCCCCCACCAACACCACCAUGUCUACGGGGAUGGCCUCAGCACCACUACCGCAGCCUACAAGCAACACAACACAAGGUCAGAGAUUAACCUGCACAUUAUAUGGCUGCCAACGAGUCUACACGGACCCAGACAGCCUGGCCAGACACAUCAAGGACCAUCAGAAUCACAUUCCCACUCAGUCCCUCCCAGGGAAAGUGUUCCUCUGCUCCUCGACCGGCUGCAACGGCUCCUUCGCCAGCAUGCUGCUCCUGAUGGAGCAUAUGAGGCAGCACCACAAACCCAACACAUACUUCCUGUGUCAGAGUUGUCGGUCCAAGCUACGUUCCUAUCGUGCCCUCCUCAAACACCUCCACACCUGUGCCAAGGUGGCCAGGGGCAAGGCCAAGGCUGGCGAGCAGGCAGAGGUCAAGCCUGACCCUGAUGCUGACCCUGAUGCUGCUGUUCCCAUGGCUACAGACCCCUCCAGUACAGACCAGGAGACCCCACAGCAGCAGGAGCCCAUGGAGUCCGAACCCUCCCACCUUGUCCCUGGGUCCGCUGGGUCUGACCCCCUCUCUGCCCUGGCUCCCUCCCCUUACCAUCCCCCAGAGGAUGGAUCUCUCCUGGGCCUGGACCCCAACUCGGCCCUGCUCCCUGGGGCUUUCUCCCUCCAGGAGCCUGGUGGUGGGGGGUUGUCAGCCACCCAGCUCACCCAGCCCCCAGGCCUCACAGACCAGCCCCAGCUCCCUGAGGGAUCCUUUGGCUCCUUCUCUCAGUACCUCCAAUCUCCACUGGAAGUGUCUGGGCCUGAGCUACAACAACAGCAGAGGCCCCCCAUGCCAGCCCCUCCUGCCCUGCCUUCCUCUCCACCACCCCAGACCUCCACUCCGCCCGGCUCUAACGCUCGCUGGAGGAAGAAAGAAGCUCAGAGGUCUCUAAGUCACAGAUGGACCUCUCCUCCAGCCAGUCACAGGUUAACUAGAGAUGGAGCACAGGUCAGUCCUUCAACAGCCGUAUUCUAUGGAAACACACCAGGGGGCGCUACAGCUGUGUCCAGUGUGGCCACGCCACCCCCAACAGGAAGGAGAUGACCGCCCACAUCAAGGGCCAACACAAGAGCCCUGCAGCUAAGCCUGGUAAUGACACAGAUGUCCAUGAGGCCUCUCCGUCAUCAGAUAGAGGCCACACCCACCUCUGAUUCUACCCCCACCCACCUCUGAUUCUACCCCCACCGCAGUGGAAACGCCAGAGGACAGUUUCAUAAUACGAUGUUAUACUAUAGUGGAACUAGCUUCAUAGAAAUGUAAACUAUUGAGAAAUCAGCUUUUAUUUUUACUGUGAAAGUGAUGCAUUUCAAUAAAACAUAUUCAAAACAAAUAUAACUUGACCAAAGGUAAUGGUAUUCGAGUUUAUGUGCAGAAAAUGUUUUGACAAGGAUUUAGAAAACAUGAUCACACACACACACACCUUCAUAACAACCACCUCGGUGCGUACACAAAUUAUAGUUCCGACGUUGAUUGUUGAAAAUUCACACGCCAAGUUGUCAACUAACAGUAUCUGCUGCAGCAAGCUAAAGCAAUGGUGAUAUUAGAUAAGCCUCAACUGAAGACAACAUGACCAUCAGAACCUCGUUCCACUUCCCCUAAAAGCAGAGUUCUAGUCCUGAUAUUAACUCAAUCCCACAGGGCUCUGGUCAAAAGUAGUGUACUCAGUCGACUUCAACUACCGCUCCUUACAA